AUACUUAUCUGGCAGGAGAGAUACCACAAUCAGGAAGGUGGUUUUCCCAGGGUGAGGCUUAUCCAUUGCACUCCAGAUAGGCUGACCCCUGCGAUUUCCCCAAAUGUGGGAAACUUGAUUGCAUAAUUUGUGGUAUGGGGGACUGCGUUCAUGCUCUCCCCUG
rnacentral:snRNA from 1 species